UGGGCUUGUAGCUCAGUGGUAGAGCAUUUGCCUAGCAUGCUUGAGGCCCUGGGUUCCAUCCCCAGCACUUAA
rnacentral:tRNA from 1 species